UAUCGGGGAUGGAUAGGGACGCGCUCGGGGUAGUCAUCCCCGUUGUCGCGCUGUCCUGGGGGGCACCGGAGGUCGCCACGGCGAAGCAGGAGGUGGAGGAGGCCGCCGUGGUCGAUCUCUCCUCUGCCAGAAGGGAGAGGAAGAAGACGACCCUGCCCUUGGUUGGUUGGGCCUCGUAGGUAAGCGUAGAAUAGGUUUUUUUUUCCAUUUUCUGCUAUUUUUGUUUCUGUUUUAAUUACUCACAUUGAUUUCUAUUUAUU
rnacentral:lncRNA from 1 species